rnacentral:rRNA from 1 species
UACUAUAGCUUGACACUGAACAUUGAGCCUUGAUGUGUAGGAUAGGUGGGAGGCUUUGAAGUGUGGACGCCAGUCUGCAUGGAGCCGACCUUGAAAUACCACCCUUUAAUGUUUGAUGUUCUAACGUGGACCCGUAAUCCGGGUUGCGGACAGUGUCUGGUGGGUAGUUUGACUGGGGCGGUCUCCUCCUAAAGAGUAACGGAGGAGCACGAAGGUUGGCUAAUCCUGGUCGGACAUCAGGAGGUUAGUGCAAUGGCAUAAGCCAGC